rnacentral:rRNA from 1 species
UACGGGGGGGAGCAAGCGUUGUUCGGAUUUACUGGGCGUAAAGGGCGCGUAGGCGGUCGUGACAAGUCACUUGUGAAAUCUCCGGGCUUAACUCGGAAAGGUCAACUGAUACUGUGCGACUAGAGUGCGGAAGGGGCAACUGGGAAUUCUUGGUGUAGCGGUGAAAUGCGUAGAUAUCAAGAGGAACACCUGCGGCGAAGGCGGGUU